CCCUUAGAUGUUCUGGGCCGCACGCGCGCUACACUAACGAAUGCAACGAGCUUAUAACCUUGGCCGAAAGGUCUGGGUAAUCUCCAAAUUUCGUCGUGAUGGGGAUAGAUUAUUGCAAUUAUUAAUCUUCAACGAGGAAUGCCUAGUAAGCGCAAGUCAUCAGCUUGCGUUGAUUACGUCCCUGCCCUUUGUACACACCGCCCGUCGCUCCUACCGAUUGAAUGGUCCGGUGAAGCGUUCGGACCGUGGCCUUUGGACGGUUCGCCGUUUGUUGGCUGCGGGAAGUUCGUUAAACCUUAUCAUUUAGAGGAAGGAGAAGUCGUAACA
rnacentral:rRNA from 1 species